GACGAACGCUGGCGGCGUGCCUAAUACAUGCAAGUAGAACGCUGAAGAGAGGAGCUUGCUCUUCUUGGAUGAGUUGCGAACGGGCGAGUAACGCGUAGGUAACCUGCCUUGUAGCGGGGGAUAACUAUUGGAAACGAUAGCUAAUACCGCAUAACAAUGGAUGACACAUGUCAUUUAUUUGAAAGGGGCAAUUGCUCCACUACAAGAUGGACCUGCGUUGUAUUAGCUAGUAGGUGAGGUAAUGGCUCACCUAGGCGGCGAUACAUAGCCGACCUGAGAGGGUGAUCGGCCACACUGGGACUGGGACACGGCCCAGACUCCUACGGGAGGCAGCAGUAGGGAAUCUUCGGCAAUGGGGGCAACCCUGACCGAGCAACGCCGCGUGAGUGAAGAAGGUUUUCGGAUCGUAAAGCUCUGUUGUAAGUCAAGAACGGGUGUGAGAGUGGAAAGUUCACACUGUGACGGUAGCUUACCAGAAAGGGACGGCUAACUACGUG
rnacentral:rRNA from 1 species